rnacentral:lncRNA from 1 species
UCACAGUAUACUGACUAGAAUUUAUUUUCUACACUUAAAAAAUAAAUAAUAAAGGUUUUCCAAGCAAGCUGAUAACGUGAACAAGGAAAUCAUUAAUCCUGCUUAAGGGUGAAGGUCAGCAAACUUUUCAAGGCUUGGCAACAGUACUGCUAAAAAAUAAAUGAGCUCAUGAUAAAUGGUUCUUAUCUUUAAAAGUACUGACAAGACUCCCUGAGAUAUUAAGGCCAGCUUAACAUGAUUUGUUUUCUUCGUUAAUGCUUUGAGAUGGUCAGACUUCUCACUGUUAGUGAGGUCCUGAGUGUGGAUGAGUUAAUGAGGCCCUAACAGGGUAAAGGACUUGAUAAAAUGUAAAGGGCUGAGGAGGAGAGUUAAAAAGAGUUAAUGGCUCUCAGUUUUCCCCCUUGCCCUCACCAAAAUAGAUUUGGUGCCUCUCUUCUGAGCUCCACUGUCACAUAGCAAAUAUUUCAAUUAGAGCAAUUGGCCCACUGUUUUGAAUUGAUUUAGUUGUGCUUAGAUCUCCCUUCUUAGACAAUAAACAUCUCUAUUUUAGGAUCAUAUAUAUAUUAUUAUUAUUUUUUGUCUUUUUGCCUUUUCUAGGGCCGCUCCCUCGGCAUAUGGAUGUUCCUAGACUAGGGGUCUAAUUGGAGCUGUAGCCGCCGGCCGGCCUACGCCAGAGCCACAGCAACACGGCAUCCGAGCCAUGUCUGUGACCUACAACACAGCUCAUGGAAACGCUGGAUCGUUAACCCACUGAGCAAGGCCAGGGAUCGAACCCGCAACCUCAUGGUUUCUAGUCAGAUUGGUUAACCACUGAGCCACGGUGGGAACUCCUUUAGGAUCAUAUUUAACAUAGCUUUUAUAUAUCAGUGGCUAGUGACUGCCUGGAAUAUUGUGGGUGCUUAAAGAAUUGAAAUGACUUAAAUGUUAUUUUGGAUUAUUUAUGAACGUAUGCUUCAUGUAGGAGUUUAGAGUAGAUUUUGGUAGAAGGAAAAAAAAGAGGAGGCUUUCAUUUGUGGUUCAUGCCAGUUAUUACUGGCAUCAAAUUAAACUGAAGUUAUGAAAUAAAUUAACAGAGAAUAGUAAGAUUUUUAAAGGUCAGGUUUCCUUCCUUGACUGGAAAAGAAUAUACUCCAUUUGAUAUUACUAAAAUAAUAUGUUUUAAAAGAACGCCAAAUUUUUAUCAACUUGUGUCUUUCUCAUAUAGAAACAGAUAAUAGCUCUGUUCAGUCUUGAACAUAGAAGGGCAGUGCAGCCUGCAUAUAUAGUCCUCUGGCUAAAGCUUCCAACUUUGCCUAGAGGGACCUCAAAUAUCAUUUGGUUCAGGGUUCUCCCGAGAUGGCAGUGUUCUGGCCACUUGAUUUGAAAGUGUUAUGCCGAGCAACUUAUUUUAUAUUCAGUCCCCGAAAUGCAAGGACAACUGAGUUUUCACCAGAGAGGGAGAGAAAGACAGAGACAGGGAGAGAAAGGGCUAUUGCUGCUUGGCCAUUUAUACUAAAUACAACGGUAAAAUGCCAAGCUAAUAUUUUUCAAAGAUAGGAUGUUGACAAGUUGACUGUAUAUGGAAUUUGAGGUUGCUAAGUAGUGCUGUUACUUCUUGGAUAAAACAAUCACUUCAAAUCUGUUCUCAUUAUGAAAGAACAACUCUUGUCUCUCCCACUUCAUUUCUAAAUUCUCCUUCUAUAUAUGUAAGCAAGUUUUGGUCAAUUUCUGGUCAACUGGUUUAAAUACCCAUGUUCAAUGUUAUUACUUUAAUUCAAAGAAGGUGGGAUUUCUGAACCAAGUGUAUUAUUAAAACCUCAGGACCAUGUUUGGAUGGUCAGGAGCAGACAGCCAGUUUCUGCUGUUCCUUACUUUCUAGUGGAAUCAAGGAUGUUUUUCUUCCAUGAUAGGUAUUCUUGAUGACUUUCAUCUCAGUGUGAAGCUCCUGUCAAUUCCUAACUAACAACAAAAGAAAAAAUAGAGGAAAAAAAAAUGAAUGCACAGGGAGUAAAAUACCAUUUCACACUGGGUGCUUUGUAAAUGUGAGCCAACUCACACAAAUCCUUUAGGCAUCAAUAGAAAUGGAGCUGAGCCAGAAGAGACGAAAACAUGUCCAAACAGAGAAAGUUUGCUCAGCAAAUUGAAAUUCAAGCCUGAAAUUGAAAAGUUUGUGUUAAACCUACUACAAAGGGCACAUUUCAUCCUUCCCUCAUUUUUUUCCCCUAAAAUGCAAAGUUUAUUAAAUAUUGAUUUUUUGUUAGAUUCUUUGCAUAUUUUCAGUCUCUCCUUCCAUUUAAUCUUCUGAUAUAGUAAUUAUCACUUGGGUAAAUGGGAAUAAAAACAUAAUGCUAAAUAUUUGAACAGUUUCAUCCGAGUUUGCACACAGAAGAAGUAAAAUAUACUCUUCUGUGUAAUUACAGCUCACUAUGGAAAGUAUCAUUUGGUAUGAUUGUCCCAAAGCAAAAACCUGUUAUAUUAUUGCAUAAUAUGUUUAAUGAAAAACAAUUUAGGUGUAAUUUGGAAAACCUUACCAUUAAAUAUUAUGUGAUUUUAUCAUUUGAGCUAUGAGUAUCAAGCCCAUGCAUGUGAAAGUAUUUUGUAAUCUGAAAGUUAAAUUUGCUAUAGGAGGAAAGAUUAAAUUUUAUCAAAAGGAAAAGUAGAGUUAAUAAUACAUUAAAAAUUAUUUGUCUCUUGUGGACCAACAUGAGGCAUAAAGAUAGCUCUUUUUCUAACUUUUGAUUGACAUCAUCAUUUCCCAACACUGAGGAAUACUUUUUCAAGUAGAACUUGACUGGCAAAACUCUCUGUGUGGACAUACCUUUUUAUAUUACUAUUAUAUUUUGGUUUUGUAGGACUAAUUAAGUGGAAUAUUUUAUGAUUAGUAACCAUGUAGUUUUUAACGUCUUGUUGCACUGACAGUCAGCUGUAACAUAGUGAUUUUAGACUUUGCACUUUGAAACCAAAUCUCACCAGCCUACAUACUGAGUAGCAAUGUAUGAAAAUUCCCAUUUCUCUUGCCAUCCUCACAAUGUCUGAUUUAUUGAACUUUUUAAUGUUUCUAUUCACAAAUGAGUUUAUCUUCUAACUUCUUUGAAUGUCUUUUUUAUAGCUUUCAUCCAUUUUUAGUAGGUUCUUUCUCUUUUCCUGCUUCAUUUACUAAAGAUAAUCUAAUGUUCUAAAUAUUACUCUCUUGCCAGGUUUUGUGAUGCAAAUAUGUCUUUACAUAAUUUUGUCUCUCAGUAAAUAAAAAUCAUCAUUUUGAUAUAGUUAUGCCUAUUUUUGCCUUUAAUAUUUUUUACUCUUUUGAGUUCAUACUAUAUAAGCUUUUCUCCAAACCAUGAGCAUAAAUAUGCUGCCCUGCAUGCUCUUCUGUUAGUUUUAUGCGUGUUAUUUAUGCAUGUAUGUGUCUCUUACUUACAUAUUUCAUCUAUCUUUACCUUUAUAUUUUUCUCCACCUAGUAAACUAUUGUUUUCUAACAUCAUUUACUUUAAAAUUCAUUAUUUUCUACUGAAUUUUGUUGCUACCUUUAUUAUGUAUUAAGUGCUUAUAUUUACAUGACCUCCCCCUCUGUUUCAUUUAUCUGCAAUGGUAACAUAAAGUUUGUAUUAAUAUGGCUUUAUAGUAUGUCUAAGUGGAUGGUAUGAGCAGUCCCAACUCUUUACUCUUCUUUUCUCAAAGGUAGAUUAGAUUUUCCUGAAAUUCCUAAGUUGGAGAACAUAAUCAAAGGAAGAAGCCCUUGCAAAUUUUAUCAGGAUCAACUCUGUCUUAUAAAACUUAAACUUUUCUUCUGAUUUCUGAGUGGUUUUCUAUAGGAAUCUUAUCAGUCUCCCACACAUAGUUAACAUCAUCAGCCAGGGAUUUGAAAAGAGUUUAUACUCAGACUUUGGUUGUCAGCUUUCCUGAGACUAACUCGAUUCCACAGUUUUGCCCUUAAGUAGUAUUCAUAGAUUCAGAUGUAGUUUAAAUAAAACAUCAGCAGGUCAAUGGGAUAAAAUUCUAAAUAAAAUUCUUUUGAUAAUGGUUUGUAAAUAUAUGUAUAUAUGUAUGUAUACAUAUAUUUUUUAUCAACUGACAAGUUACAGUUUUACUGUACUUCAGAGACUGAGCUAUAUACAGCACCACUCAACUUUUUUUUUUUUUUUAAUAAGAAUAAACUCCAGGACACAUCAUCACAGUUGUUAAAUACUCACAAGCUAAUGUCAUCAUCCUUACAUAUUGAUAACUCAGCUUUUGUGACGUAUUCUAAAGCCCAGGUCACCUUGUCAGUGGUGAAAAUAGAGUAUUACUUUGCCUCCCUGUGGAUAUCUUUUUUAUUUCAUUGGGGUUAUAUCUUCUGUCAAGUUUUUCACUAUAGCUUUAACUUUUUUUUUUCUUUUUUUUUUUCACUUGGGAAAUAUUUUCUUUUCUGGAAAAAAAAGGACAUCUACAAUUUCUAUUUGUCUUCCUCUUACUUCUUAACAAGAAAAUAUUUUAAACCUUGGCUGUUACAGUUUCAUAAAAUGGUGCAAAAUAAAAGUUAUGAGAAACAUCUUUAUAAUUCUAGAAACUGAGUUUUAAAAGAAUAUUCAGAUUAGAAAAAAAGAUCCCUAUAUCAUAGUGAAAUUUAUAUAUAUAUUACUUUAAUAAGUUAUUUAUAAUUAUUUUUCAGGGAACUGUGGUACCUUGAGGAUGGCUAGAUCUUUGAAAUUAAAAGAUAGAGAGAUGAGCAGGAUGAAAACAAGGAUAGCAAGUAUUUAAGAAAUUUUGCACAAAAUUGUUGUUAUAGAAUCAUACUAUGUUUUAAAAGGAUCAAUCUAGCAACAUGGUGAGUUGGUUGAAGUGAGCAAGGCCAACGGAGCAAUUCUGAAAUGAUUAAAGGAAGAGAUUUUGUGACAAGUGUUGUUGUAGUGGGAAUGAGGUUGAUAAGGUGACCAAGAUAUCCAGGAAGCAUCAUUGAUAGUAUUUAUGGUUGAUUAGGUGUUGGAAGGGAUGGGUGAGAAGUGGGAAUAAAUCUGUGAUGGAAGACAUAAGUUUGUGUCUUAAGCAGAAAAGUGCUUUGGGGUUCCAUAUUCUAAGAUAGGAAAGAUGGAAAGCAGCAUGUUUAGGGGUUAAGAUGAUGAGUUCAGUUGUCAGCGCUCUGACUUCAUCUGAAUACUACUCAAAUGAGUUAGUCCCUAAGUACUUGGAAAUAUGAACCAGAAGGUAAGUCUGGCAUAAAGCUAGAAAUAUUUAGGAAGUAAAAUCACCAUCGCUCUUAACCUAGAGCUCAGCAAAAGCCUUCAGCAAUUAAGCCUUCUCCAUAAUCUAAUAUCUGUCUAGAUCUCUUAUGUCAUGUCAUGCAAAGUACCACAGGUUUCUUUCUGUGGCUAGGGUCAAACUAGUCCAGGCUUGUUUUAGCCUAAGAAUAUACCAAACUUUUAUGUCUCAGGGUUUUUGCCCUACACGCUCCUUCAGUGUAGAUCUUCCUUAGAGAAGACAGUUUAUGCCUCUCUUCCUAUGCAUUUCACCACCUAUAUUUAGUAUAGUUCUUUUACUUCAUAUUGUGUCACUAGUAAUCAGAGAAGUACCUGGACUCAGUACACAUUUUUGUUGCUGUUGUUUUGCAUUUCUUGCUUUUUUUUUUUUUUUGCGAGGGGCACACCCAUGGCAUAUGGAAGUUCCCAGGCCAGAGGUCGAGUUGGAGCUACAGCUGCCAGACUACCCCCCAGCCACAGCAACAUGGGCUGCAACCUGUACCACAGUUCAGAUCAAGGUCGGAUACUUAACCCACCGAUCGAGGCCAGGAAUCCAACUCACAUCCUCAUGGAUACUAGUUGGAUUCCUUACCACUGAACCACAACAGGAACUCCCUCAAUACACAUUUAUUGAAAGAAAUAGUCUACAUCUGAAUGUAGGAAUGGACAAGAUUAGCCAGGGGGUGGUGACAGAGGAAAGAAAUGGGCUCCCGGUAGAACCAAUGAUAACACUGUCUAUGAGUAGACAGGCAGAAGAAAAACCUCUGGAAGAUUGAAAAGAAGAGCCCUAAACGGAGGAGAAAACAUAAAUAGGAAAAAAACGUCUAAGUUGAAAUGUGAAUAUGUAUUAAUCUUAUCAAAAUUUAUCAAAUGAAAGGAAAUAGAGGAGUUCCCGUCAUGGCACAGCAGAAACAAAUCUGACUAGGAAACAUGAGUUUGAGUGUUUGAUUCCUGGCCUCGCUCAGUGGGUUAAGGAUCUGGCGUUGCCAUGAACUCUGGUGUAGACCGGCAGCUGUAGCUCUGAUUUGAUCCCUAGCCUGGGAAC